rnacentral:rRNA from 1 species
GCAAGUCGAACGGUAACGAUGGAUAGCUUGCUAUCCAGGCGACGAGUGGCGGACGGGUGAGUAAUACAUAGGAAUCUAUCCAGUAGCUGGGGAUAACGUGUGGAAACGCACGCUAAUACCGAAUACGCACUACGGUGGAAAGAGGGGGAAUCUUCGGAUCCUCUCACUAUUGGCUGAGCCUAUGCCGGAUUAGUUUGUUGGUGGGGUAAUGGCCUACCAAGACUACGAUCCGUAGCUGGUCUGAGAGGACGAUC